rnacentral:rRNA from 1 species
GACGAACGCUGGCGGCGUGCUUAACACAUGCAAGUCGAACGAAGAUGCCGGAGUGCUUGCACUUUGGCAGACUGAGUGGCGGACGGGUGAGUAACGCGUGGGUAACCUGCCUUAUACAGGGGGAUAACAGUUGGAAACGACUGCUAAUACCGCAUAAGCGCACGGUAUCGCAUGAUACAGUGUGAAAAACUCCGGUGGUAUAAGAUGGACCCGCGUCUGAUUAGCUUGUUGGUGAGGUAACGGCCCACCAAGGCGACGAUCAGUAGCCGGCCUGAGAGGGUGAACGGCCACAUUGGGACUGAGACACGGCCCAAACUCCUACGGGAGGCAGCAGUGGGGAAUAUUGCACAAUGGGGGGAAACCCUGAUGCAGCAACGCCGCGUGAGUGAAGAAGUAUUUCGGUAUGUAAAGCUCUAUCAGCAGGAAAGAAAAUGACGGUACCUGACUAAGAAGCCCCGGCUAACUACGUG